CACGUAGGGGGCAAGCGUUGUCCGGAUUUAUUGGGCGUAAAGAGCUCGUAGGCGGCUUAGUAAGUCGGGUGUGAAACCUCCAGGCUCAACCUGGAGACGCCACCCGAUACUGCUGUGGCUAGAGUCCGGUAGGGGAGCGUGGAAUUCCUGGUGUAGCGGUGAAAUGCGCAGAUAUCAGGAGGAACACCAGCGGCGAAGGCGGCGCUCUGGGCCGAUACUGACGCUGAGGAGCGAAAGCGUGGGGAGCGAACAGG
rnacentral:rRNA from 1 species